CCUACACGACCGUACCGCAAACCGACACUGGUGCGCGAGAUGAGUAUUCUAAGGCGCUUGAGAGAACUCAGGAGAAGGAACUCGGCAAAUUGACACCGUAACUUCGGAAGAAGGUGUGCCUUUAGUAGGUGAACCUGUACAAGGGGAGCCCAAUGAGGUUGCAAAAAAUCGGUGGCUGCGACUGUUUAAUAAAAACACAGCACUCUGCAAACACGAAAGUGGACGUAUAGGGUGUGACGCCUGCCCGGUGCUGGAAGAUUAAAUGAUGGGGUGCAAGCUCUUGAUUGAAGUCCCAGUAAACGGCGGCCGUAACUAUAACGGUCCUAAGGUAGCGAAAUUCCUUGUCGGGUAAGUUCCGACCUGCACGAAUGGCGUAACGAUGGCCACACUGUCUCCUCCUGAGGCUCAGCGAAGUUGAAAUGUUUGUGAUGAUGCAAUCUCCCCGCGGAAAGACGGAAAGACCCCAUGAACCUUUACUGUAGCUUUGUAUUGGACUUUGAACAGAUCUGUGUAGGAUAGGUGGGAGGCUUUGAAGUGUGGUCGCUAGAUCGCAUGGAGCCAACGUUGAAAUACCACCCUGGUGUGUUUGAGGUUCUAACCUAGGCCCGUAAUCCGGGUCGGGGACAGUGCAUGGUAGGCAGUUUGACUGGGGCGGUCUCCUCCCAAAGCGUAACGGAGGAGUUCGAAGGUACGCUAGGUACGGUCGGACAUCGUGCUAAUAGUGCAAUGGCAUAAGCGUGCUUAACUGCGAGACUGACAAGUCGAGCAGAUGCGAAAGCAGGACAUAGUGAUCCGGUGGUUCUGUAUGGAAGGGCCAUCGCUCAACGGAUAAAAGGUACUCUGGGAUAACAGGCUGAUACCGCCCAAGAGUUCCUAUCGACGGCGGUGUUUGGCACCUCGAUGUCGGCUCAUCUCAUCCUGGGGCUGUGGCCGGUCCCAAGGGUAUGCUGUUCGCCAUUUAAAGAGGUACGUGAGCUGGGUUUAAAACGUCGUGAGACAGUUUGGUCCCUAUCUUCCGUGGGCGCUGCAGAUUUGAGGAAGCCUGCUCCUAGUACGAGAGGACCGGAGUGGACACACCUCUGGUGUAUCGGUUGUCACGCCAGUGGCAUUGCCGAGUAGCUAUGUGUGGAAGAGAUAACCGCUGAAAGCAUCUAAGCGGGAAACUCGUUUCAAGAUGAGAUCUGCCGGGGCCUUGAGCCCCCUAAAGAGUCGUUCAAGACCAGGACGUUGAUAGGUCGGGUGUGGAAGCGCAGUAAUGCGUUAAGCUAACCGAUACUAAUUGCUCGUGCGGCUUGACCC
rnacentral:rRNA from 1 species